AUCCUUUUAUUGGUUUAUGAGAGUGAUGGUUGAGUAUUUACAUGUUUGCCUAACAAGUGCCUCCCACAAAACUUGUUACAACAUCUAUUGGCACAGUACCCUUUUGGUG